CAUCGGCCGCUACGAUCACUCGGAAUAGGGGGCCGUCGCUGGGCUCACCCGCGUCUGAGGUCUGAGCUAGCUAACCCGUGUUGAUUACUCGAUUGCUGUUCCAUUCUGAAAUUAGUUGUUUUUAUCAAUCGGCUCUACAAAUUGGUGACCAAGAUCUUGAAAAUUUAACUUGGUACAAAGUUUAACAGAGAGUAAGAAAGGCUCAGCAGGAUGUGGGAAUUUUAAAUUAGGUUUAACUACCACAGGGACCACAGGCUUUGUUGCUAGCUAUGGUCAACUAGUCCAGCCUCCUACUGAACUUUAAGGUGCCUCUUAAUUGGAGAAACAUUAUUUUUUAGUAAUGGACUAAUGUAUAACAUGAAAUUUUAUGCUGGAGUCCUUGGGCCCCUUUUGACAACAAUUGGCAUUUGUAUGUAGAGUACAGAAGUUUUAAUCCGGGAAGAGAAUUGGCCUAGGAUUUAUCAAAAGUAAUUGGAUGUAUUGGCUUUUAGGCAUCCUUAAUUUUGUGUUAGCUCCAUUGGUGAUUGCUAUGGCAACUACUCUAUGCUUUCUUCAAUAAAUGCAGAAGUUUUGAAAAGAGAGCCCGGAAGCCUUGGCGCUCGCAGGUGGUCAAUAAAUAAGAGAUUAUAUUUGCGAUAUUUUAAUCAAUCAGAUCACGAGUUACAAGUGCGAUUGUUUUGCAAAAAUUUUGGAAAUUCUAUGUUUAAUAGAGGCUCUACGGUGAUGA